UCCUUGUUAGUACAAUGGCUAGUAUAGGGCACUCUCAUACCGCGUCCACGCUGAGAGCCUCUGCUCAGAUCGGGGUUCAAUUCCCCGGCAGGGAA